rnacentral:rRNA from 1 species
UACGUAGGGUGCAAGCGUUGUCCGGAAUUAUUGGGCGUAAAGAGCGUGUAGGCGGCCCGGUUAGUCCGCUGUGAAAGUCCAGGGCUCAACCCUGGAAUGCCGGUGGAUACUGUCGGGCUAGAGUCCGGAAGGGGCGAGUGGAAUUCCUGGUGUAGCGGUGGAAUGCGCAGAUAUCAGGAGGAACACCGGUGGCGAAGGCGGGUCUCUGGGCAGUAACUGACGCUGAGGAGCGAAAGCGUGGGGAGCGAACAGG